rnacentral:rRNA from 1 species
AACGCUGGCGGCGUGCCUAAUACAUGCAAGUAGAACGCUGAAGAGAGGAGCUUGCUCUUCUUGGAUGAGUUGCGAACGGGUGAGUAACGCGUAGGUAACCUGCCUUGUAGCGGGGGAUAACUAUUGGAAACGAUAGCUAAUACCGCAUAACAAUGGAUGACACAUGUCAUUUAUUUGAAAGGGGCAAUUGCUCCACUACAAGAUGGACCUGCGUUGUAUUAGCUAGUAGGUGAGGUAAUGGCUCACCUAGGCGACGAUACAUAGCCGACCUGAGAGGGUGAUCGGCCACACUGGGACUGAGACACGGCCCAGACUCCUACGGGAGGCAGCAGUAGGGAAUCUUCGGCAAUGGGGGCAACCCUGACCGAGCAACGCCGCGUGAGUGAAGAAGGUUUUCGGAUCGUAAAGCUCUGUUGUAAGUCAAGAACGGGUGUGAGAGUGGAAAGUUCACACUGUGACGGUAGCUUACCAGAAAGGGACGGCUAACUACGUGCCAGCAGCCGCGGUAAUACGUAGGUCCCGAGCGUUGUCCGGAUUUAUUGGGCGUAAAGCGAGCGCAGGCGGUUUGAUAAGUCUGAAGUUAAAGGCUGUGGCUCAACCAUAGUUCGCUUUGGAAACUGUCAAACUUGAGUGCAGAAGGGGAGAGUGGAAUUCCAUGUGUAGCGGUGAAAUGCGUAGAUAUAUGGAGGAACACCGGUGGCGAAAGCGGCUCUCUGGUCUGUAACUGACGCUGAGGCUCGAAAGCGUGGGGAGCGAACAGGAUUAGAUACCCUGGUAGUCCACGCCGUAAACGAUGAGUGCUAGGUGUUGGAUCCUUUCCGGGAUUCAGUGCCGCAGCUAACGCAUUAAGCACUCCGCCUGGGGAGUACGACCGCAAGGUUGAAACUCAAAGGAAUUGACGGGGGCCCGCACAAGCGGUGGAGCAUGUGGUUUAAUUCGAAGCAACGCGAAGAACCUUACCAGGUCUUGACAUCCCGAUGCUAUUUCUAGAGAUAGAAAGUUACUUCGGUACAUCGGUGACAGGUGGUGCAUGGUUGUCGUCAGCUCGUGUCGUGAGAUGUUGGGUUAAGUCCCGCAACGAGCGCAACCCCUAUUGUUAGUUGCCAUCAUUCAGUUGGGCACUCUAGCGAGACUGCCGGUAAUAAACCGGAGGAAGGUGGGGAUGACGUCAAAUCAUCAUGCCCCUUAUGACCUGGGCUACACACGUGCUACAAUGGUUGGUACAACGAGUUGCGAGUCGGUGACGGCGAGCUAAUCUCUUAAAGCCAAUCUCAGUUCGGAUUGUAGGCUGCAACUCGCCUACAUGAAGUCGGAAUCGCUAGUAAUCGCGGAUCAGCACGCCGCGGUGAAUACGUUCCCGGGCCUUGUACACACCGCCCGUCACACCACGAGAGUUUGUAACACCCGAAGUCGGUGAGGUAACCUUUUGGAGCCAGCCGCCUAAGGUGGGACAGAUGAUGGGGUGAAGU